AGAUGGAGCUUCAGGGAGAGGUUGGGUAGGUUAGGACUUUAUAACUUGGAGCAAAGGAUGCUGAGGGGUAAUCUUGCAGGAGAAUAGAUAGGGUUGUACGCACAGAGUU